UGAGGAAUAUUGGUCAAUGGGCGAGAGCCUGAACCAGCCAAGUAGCGUGAAGGAUGAAGGUCCUACGGAUUGUAAACUUCUUUUAUACGGGAAUAAAGUAUCCUACGUGUAGGAUUUUGUAUGUACCGUAUGAAUAAGCAUCGGCUAACUCCGUGCCAGCAGCCGCGGUAAUACGGAGGAUGCGAGCGUUAUCCGGAUUUAUUGGGUUUAAAGGGAGCGCAGACGGGUCGUUAAGUCAGCUGUGAAAGUUUGGGGCUCAACCUUAAAAUUGCAGUUGAUACUGGCGUCCUUGAGUGCGGUUGAGGUGUGCGGAAUUCGUGGUGUAGCGGUGAAAUGCUUAGAUAUCACGAAGAACUCCGAUUGCGAAGGCAGCACACUAAUCCGUAACUGACGUUCAUGCUCGAAAGUGUGGGUAUCAAACAGGAUUAGAUACCCUGGUAGUCCACACGGUAAACGAUGGAUACUCGCUGUUGGCGAUAUACUGUCAGCGGCUUAGCGAAAGCGUUAAGUAUCCCACCUGGGGAGUACGCCGGCAACGGUGAAACUCAAAGGAAUUGACGGGGGCCCGCACAAGCGGAGGAACAUGUGGUUUAAUUCGAUGAUACGCGAGGAACCUUACCCGGGCUUAAAUUGCAAAGGAAUAAUCUGGAAACAGAUUAGUCUUCGGACCUUUGUGAAGGUGCUGCAUGGUUGUCGUCAGCUCGUGCCGUGAGGUGUCGGCUUAAGUGCCAUAACGAGCGCAACCCUCGCCGCCAGUUACUAGCAGGUAAUGCUGAGGACUCUGGCGGGACUGCCAUCGUAAGAUGUGAGGAAGGUGGGGAUGACGUCAAAUCAGCACGGCCCUUACGUCCGGGGCUACACACGUGUUACAAUGGGCGGUACAGAAGGCAGCUACCUGGCGACAGGAUGCCAAUCCCUAAAGCCGCUCUCAGUUCGGACUGGAGUCUGCAACCCGACUCCACGAAGCUGGAUUCGCUAGUAAUCGCGCAUCAGCCACGGCGCGGUGAAUACGUUCCC
rnacentral:rRNA from 1 species